AGUGAACGCUGGCGGUAGGCCUAACACAUGCAAGUCGAACGGCAGCACAGUAAGAGCUUGCUCUUACGGGUGGCGAGUGGCGGACGGGUGAGGAAUACAUCGGAAUCUACUUUUUCGUGGGGGAUAACGUAGGGAAACUUACGCUAAUACCGCAUACGACCUACGGGUGAAAGCAGGGGAUCUUCGGACCUUGCGCGAUUGAAUGAGCCGAUGUCGGAUUAGCUAGUUGGCGGGGUAAAGGCCCACCAAGGCGACGAUCCGUAGCUGGUCUGAGAGGAUGAUCAGCCACACUGGAAAUGAGACACGGUCCAGACUCCUACGGGAGGCAGCAGUGGGGAAUAUUGGAAAAUGGGCGCAAGCCUGAUCCAGCCAUACCGCGUGGGUGAAGAAGGCCUUCGGGUUGUAAAGCCCUUUUGUUGGGAAAGAAAAGCAGCAGGUUAAUACCCCGCUGUUCUGACGGUACCCAAAGAAUAAGCACCGGCUAACUUCGU
rnacentral:rRNA from 1 species